GCACGUAUAAGGUUACCAUCAUCUCCACCACCGGGUGACACACCCCGUCCCGAAGGAGGGCGUGCUGGCCGUCACGUGAGAGUGACGUAACCAUUUACAUAGUUCAGAAGCUUUACAAAAAAUUUUCCAAUUACUAAGAUGACACACCCGAGGGUGAAGUCCUACUUUUGUGAAUUCUGUCAGAACACCGUUGGAUUCCUCGUGGCCACCAAAGCUCUGCCUAACUUGAACCUGGUGGGCGCAAAAAAAAAAGUGAGUGGGGUCAUUGAAAACAACCAGUUUUUCGAAAACUUUCCAUUUAAAAUAUUUCUAACCCUCUCACCCAAAACCUGUAUACUUUCCCAGAAAAUAGCAUAUAUAUAAAUAUAUAUAUAGCAAAAUCUCAAAAUCUCAAACCUUUAACACUCCCAAUUAUAUAUAUAAUAUAUUUCCAUAUGAAAUCUCAAACUUAAGCCCAAAUCUUUAACAUUUCAUUCAAGAAAAAACAUGCCAUGCCAUAAAUCAAAAUAUAAAUCAGGUGAAAUAAGAGAAUCAAUCGGAGACCCUGCAGUUUUUGGUCCUAUACGAUUAAUUCAAUAGCUCAAUAUCUCACUAAGCCGGAGUCACCACAGUGACCUAUACGGCCCUAACUCUGCAAUCACUCGGACUACGUAAGGUAGUCUGUACAUCACAAAAUACGCUCUAGUGCGGUCGUCACGCUCUGUACUCCAUGAUCGGAACAGUCACGCAAAAACGCCAGACAUGUCUCUCUCAUCAUCAACAGCGCGCAUCUACUACAUCCAAGGCUGGACGAUAGCACGCCUAGGAUACCUAGCAUGUCGAAAUCACAAUAAACGACUCACCUACUUGGAUCCAACGAGCGUGUGCGGUGUGUGAAUAAAAUAAAGCAUAACACCUAGGGUGCAGGUUAUUGAGCUUGAAAACAUUCUUAUCAACAAUCAAUUAAAUGAAUAAUGAACUCACCUGACUUACCUGUGCCUCACAGCACCAUGCAACAUGUAUGCAUCAUAUCAUCAUCAUAUAACUAUCGUAUGAAAUUCACAUUUUCCAAAUAAUUCUAUGCAUGGCAUUUUCAAAACAUAAUUUCGUCGUAUAAAUUCAUCUUCUGGGAAAAAUUUAUUAGUAUAAAGGUAAUACGAAAACAAAAACUGCCCACUCUCACCUGGAGUUCGCUCAACAACUCCCUAGCACCACACAUCAAGGCGUCAUGAAGAUUAGCGCCUAGAACAAUAAU
rnacentral:lncRNA from 1 species